rnacentral:rRNA from 1 species
UACAGGAGGGGCAAGCGUUAUUCGGAAUUAUUGGUGCGUAAAGGGCGCGUAGGCGGCUUGGCAAGUGGAUGGAUGAAAGUCCCUCCGGCUUAACCGAGGAACUGCCGUCCAAACUGCUUAGCUUGAGACGGGAGAGGUGAGUGGAAUUCCAGUGUAGCGGUGAAAUGCGUAGAUAUUGGGAGGAACACCGGUGGCGAAGGCGGCGUUCUGGACUGUAACUGACACUGAUGAACGAAAGCCAGGGAGCAAACGGGAGUUAG